AUAUGGGGGAUAGCCGGCCUAACGGCCGAGUAAUACCGCAUACGCUCUCGAUGAGGCAUUUCAUUGAGAGGAAACCUCCGGGGUAUUUCGAGGGGCUCGCGGCCUAUCAGCUAGUUGGCGAGGUAACGGCUCACCAAGGCAACGACGGGUAGCUGGUCUGAGAGGAUGGCCAGCCACAUUGGGACUGAGAUACGGCCCAGACUCCUACGGGAGGCAGCAGUGGGGAAUCUUGCGCAAUGGCCUAACGGCUGACGCAGCGACGCCGCGUGUGGGAUGAAGCUCUUCGGAGUGUAAACCACUGUUGCCCGGGACGAAUAGCUCGAUUUCUCGAGCCUGACAGUACCGGGUGAGGAAGCACCGGCUAACUCCGUGCCAGCAGCCGCGGUAAUACGGGGGGUGCGAGCGUUGUCCGGAAUCACUGGGCGUAAAGGGCGCGUAGGUGGUUUGAUAAGGGUGUGGUGAAAGUCCGGGGCUCAACCCCGGAUCUGCCGUGCCGACUGUCAAACUCGAGGACUGUAGAGGCAGACGGAAUUCCGGGUGUAGCGGUGGAAUGCGUAGAGAUCCGGAGGAAGACCGGUGGCGAAGGCGGUCUGCUGGGCAGUUUCUGACACUGAGGCGCGACAGCGUGGGGAGCAAACAGGAUUAGAUACCCUGGUAGUCCACGCCGUAAACGAUGGGUACUAGGUGCCUGGGGGA
rnacentral:rRNA from 1 species